UGGAAUCAUGGGAUCUCUUCAGCCUUUGC
rnacentral:piRNA from 1 species